rnacentral:rRNA from 1 species
GUUAUAGGAUCAAGCGACUAAGUGCAUGUGGUGGAUGCCUUGGCGAUUACAGGCGAUGAAGGACGUGCAAGCCUGCGAAAAGCUCUGGGGAGCUGGCAACGAAGCUUUGAUCCAGAGAUGUCCGAAUGGGGAAACCCACUCCGCAAGGAGUAUCCCUGACUGAAUACAUAGGUCAGUGGAGGCGAACCCGGUGAACUGAAACAUCUAAGUAGCCGGAGGAAAAGAAAUCAACCGAGAUUCCCAAAGUAGUGGCGAGCGAAAUGGGAACAGCCUGCAAGUGAUAGCGAAUCUGUUAGCGGAAGACUCUGGAAAGUGUCGCCGUAGUGGGUGAUAGCCCCGUACGCGAAAACAGGAUCGUGGUACUAAGUUUGCGACAAGUAGGGCGGGGCACGUGAAACCCUGUCUGAAUAUGGGGGGACCAUCCUCCAAGGCUAAAUACUCGUAAUCGACCGAUAGUGAACCAGUACCGUGAGGGAAAGGCGAAAAGAACCCCGGGAGGGGAGUGAAAUAGAUCCUGAAACCGCAUGCAUACAAACAGUGGGAGCCCCUUCGUGGGGUGACUGCGUACCUUUUGUAUAAUGGGUCAGCGACUUACGUUAUGUUGCGAGCUUAACCGAGUAGGGAAGGCGUAGGGAAACCGAGUCUGAUAAGGGCGUUAAGUAGCAUGGCGUAGACCCGAAACCGGAUGAUCUAUCCAUGGCCAGGAUGAAGGUGCGGUAACACGCACUGGAGGUCCGAACCCACUAACGUUGAAAAGUUAGGGGAUGAGCUGUGGAUAGGGGUGAAAGGCUAAACAAAUCCGGAAAUAGCUGGUUCUCUCCGAAAACUAUUUAGGUAGUGCCUCAAGUAUCACCUACGGGGGUAAAGCACUGUAAUGGUUGAAGGGGUCAUCGCGACUUACUUCGCCAUAGCAAACUCUGAAUACCGUAGAGUGCGAGCUUGGGAGACAGACAUCGGGUGCUAACGUCCGGUGUCAAGAGGGAAACAACCCAGACCGCCGAUUAAGGUCCCAAAGACAUAGUUAAGUGGGAAACGAGGUGGGAAGGCUCAGACAGCCAGGAGGUUGGCUUAGAAGCAGCCAUCCUUUAAAGAAAGCGUAAUAGCUCACUGGUCGAGUCGUCCUGCGCGGAAGAUGUAACGGGGCUCAAACUAUGCACCGAAAUCGCGGAUAUCCUUUGGAUAUGGUAGGAGAGCGUUCUGUAGGCCGUUGAAGGUGUCUCGUGAGGGAUGCUGGAGGUAUCAGAAGUGCGAAUGCUGACAUGAGUAGCGAUAAAGGGAGUGAAAAGCUCCCUCGCCGAAAGCCCAAGGUUUCCUGCGCAACGUUCAUCGGCGCAGGGUGAGUCGGCCCCUAAGGCGAGGCUGAAAAGCGUAGUCGAUGGGAAACAGGUUAAUAUUCCUGUACCUCAAUGUAAUGCGAUGGGGGGACGGAGAAGGUUAGGUCAGCCGGGUGUUGGACGUCCCGGUUUAAGCGUGUAGGCGUGCCCCUUAGGCAAAUCCGGGGGGCUAAGCUGAGGCGUGACGACGAGCGCUCUUUGAGCGCGAAGUGAUUGAUACCAAGCUUCCAAGAAAAGCCUCUAAGCUUCAGUUACAUUGGGACCGUACCGCAAACCGACACAGGUGGGCAGGAUGAGAAUUCUAAGGCGCUUGAGAGAACUCAGGAGAAGGAACUCGGCAAAUUGGCACCGUAACUUCGGGAUAAGGUGCGCCCCGGUAGGGUGUAGAGACUUGCUCUCGAAGCUCGAUGGGGUUGCAGUGAAAUGGUGGCUGCGACUGUUUAAUAAAAACACAGCACUCUGCAAACACGAAAGUGGACGUAUAGGGUGUGACGCCUGCCCGGUGCCGGAAGGUUAAGUGAUGGGGUGCAAGCUCUUGAUCGAAGCCCCGGUAAACGGCGGCCGUAACUAUAACGGUCCUAAGGUAGCGAAAUUC